rnacentral:rRNA from 1 species
CGUCUAUAUACGUAUAGCAUAUCAAUAAGCGGAGGAAAAGAAACUAACAAGGAUUCCCCUAGUAACGGCGAGUGAAGCGGGAAGAGCUCAAAUUUGAAAUCUUCAAGGGUUUCCCUUGACGAAUUGUAGUUUAAAGAAGUGUUUUCUGUUAGAGAGGUGGUAAAAGUUCUUUGGAAUAGGACAUCAUAGAGGGUGAGAAUCCCGUAUUUGAUCACUUUCUACUAACGUUGUGAUACACUUUCAAAGAGUCGGAUUGUUUGGGAAUGCAGUCCAAAAUGGGUGGUAAAUUUCAUCUAAAGCUAAAUAUUGGCGAGAGACCGAUAGCGAACAAGUACCGUGAGGGAAAGAUGAAAAGAACUUUGAAAAGAGAGUUAAACAGUACGUGAAAUUGUCAAAAGGGAAGCGUUUGACACCAGUGUUGUUUUUCCGAAAAUCAAUUAAGAAUGGCCGGAUUUUAAGUUUCAUGACCUUAAAAGCUUGUUUCUUAUUUUUCUUGUCUUUCUUAAUGCACUUUUCGGUUAACAAGUCAACAUCAAUUUCUUUUGUUGUAAAAGGUUAAGAGGAAGGUGGCUUUACUUUCGGGUAAAGUGUUUAUAGCCUUUUAACUCUGCAAUCGGAGAGAUUGAGGUCUGCAGCGUAGAUCCUUCGGGGCUAGAUACGUUUGUGCUAAGUUAUAGCUUUUCAUAGACAACUUGUUGACUAUGUUUAGUCUUGUAGCUUACUCGCAUGCGCUAUUUUACCUACGCUUAGGAUGU